AGGAACCAUGUUGUGGAGUAUGAAGGUGAGUGCACUGACAUCAGUGUGAGCUUCGACACCAAGUGCAAGCUCUGGCUGAGGGCAAAGUGGGUAGUAGUUGAUUUUCAUUUGCAAGAGAAGCUCCUCAAGCCCCCCAACUUCCUUCUCCAGCCUCCCUUCUUCCAAUCCCAACCCAAGUGACAGCACGCGCAGUACCUUGGUUGCUAGCGCCCUCAGUUCCUUAGCAUACUCGGCGGUAGCCUCACUGCAAAGGUAUUAACUAUCUAUGUUAACAGAAAUAUUGAGGGUCUGAAAAAACAAAAUUGUUGAUAAGACAGAAUAUUGAUAUCUAUGAAAAGAAAGUUAUGUAAACAAUUGAUAAUUCGUUAAAGAAUGUUGUGUUAUUUUCGAGGAUAUGUUCAAAAUUUUCAUUCAAUUAAGCAUGAUAAGAUUUUUUUUUUUUUUUUCCUUGAGUACUUACAUGUAAUCAGCAGGUGUUUGAGGCCAAAUGGACAAGUCACGCUUGUCCUCAGGGUAUACAAGGUGGAAGAAGUAGUCCUCCCACUCAAGCUGCCCAGAAGCAUUGUUUGCAAGCUUGCUUCCAUAGCCUUGAAUUUUGCCAGAGGCCUGGUCAUUGGCAUACUUCUCCUUUUGCUCAAUGGGAAGAUCGAAAAAGGCCUUCCCGGCCUUCCUGA
rnacentral:lncRNA from 1 species